rnacentral:rRNA from 1 species
CCCUUAGAUGUUCUGGGCCGCACGCGCGCUACACUGAUGCAUGCAACGAGUUUCUUCCUGGUCCGAGAGGAAUGGGUAACCUUUUGAAAGUGCAUCGUGAUAGGGAUAGACUAUUGCAAUUAUUGGUCUUCAACGAGGAAUUCCUAGUAGACGUAGUUCAUCAGACUGCAUCGAUUACGUCCCUGCCCUUUGUACACACCGCCCGUCGCUCCUACCGAUUGAAUGCUCAGGUGAGCCAUUCGGACUUUCAUCAUGCUGGUUUCCAGUUUUGAUGAAGGAAAGUCUUGCGAACCUUAUCAUUUAGAGGAAGGAGAAGUCGUAACA